CGGGGUGAGUAAUGCUUGGGAAUCUAGCUUAUGGAGGGGGAUAACUAUGGGAAACUGUAGCUAAUACCGCGUAGAAUCGGGAGAUGAAAGUGUGGGACCUUCGGGCCACAUGCCAUAGGAUGAGCCCAAGUGGGAUUAGGUAGUUGGUGAGGUAAAGGCUCACCAAGCCGACGAUCUCUAGCUGGUCUGAGAGGAUGACCAGCCACACUGGGACUGAGACACGGCCCGG
rnacentral:rRNA from 1 species